rnacentral:rRNA from 1 species
AUUGAACGCUGGCGGCAUGCUUUACACAUGCAAGUCGAACGGUAACAGGCCUUCGGGUGCUGACGAGUGGCGAACGGGUGAGUAAUGCAUCGGAACGUGCCCAGAGGUGGGGGAUAACGCAGCGAAAGCUGUGCUAAUACCGCAUGUGAUCUGAGGAUGAAAGCGGGGGACCAAGCAGCAAUGUUUGGCCUCGCGCCUCUGGAGCGGCCGAUGUCAGAUUAGGUAGUUGGUGGGGUAAAGGCCUACCAAGCCGACGAUCUGUAGCUGGUCUGAGAGGACGACGGGCGACAGUGGGGCUGAGAGACGGCCCAGGCGCCUACGGGAGGCAGCAGUGGGGAAGUUUGGGCAAUGGGCGCAAGCCUGAUCCAGCAAUGCCGCGUGUGGGAAGAAGGCCUUCGGGUUGUAAACCGCUUUUGUACGGAACGAAAAGGGUCUGGCUAAUACCUGGGGCUGAUGACGGUACCGUAAGAAUAAGCACCGGCUAACUACGU